rnacentral:rRNA from 1 species
AUGUCCUUCCCCGCCCCGAGAGGCAGCAUUUCCAUCUUGGCACCCAUGGUGAAGAAGGUCCGGUGGCACUGCGACUUAAGCGGGGCGUCUGUUGACUUCAAUCUUUGGGCAAUCCAGCAGCUGACUCUGCAGACGGCGGAGGGACAAGGACAUCUCCCUUCUCUGCACAUUCAUGCUACUGCUCGCUUUUAUAUUUCUCUCGACGAAGAGGACAUCAUGACACCGGAGAUAGAGAAGCAUAUGGUUGCCGAGUUUUCUGCUUUGGAGCUACAUCUCAAAACAAAUGGACAUGUGUUUGGAGCAUUCGCGUUUCAUCUCCUUGGGAUGAAUCGGAUUUGCAGUGCUAUGCAGAGGCUUAAGGUUGUCCUACAGAGAUCAGAGGUGGAAGAAACAUGCUCACCGCAUUGUCCAUGUGACUCCACGGAUUGGAGAUCCCAAACUAUCUCCUUGGCUGCUCUAGAAGAAGUGGAGAUCGACGGCUUUGGAGGAGACCAUCAUGAGAUUGAUUUCUUGAAACUGAUAUUCACAUGUGCUCCAUUGCUUAAAAGAGUGACCGUGAAGCUGUCAAAUGAGGCCUCAUCAAGCGACAAUGGAUGCACAAACAUAUACAACAUCUUCAAGGCCCAUUCUUCCGUGGAACUCUAUGUUUAUCCUAGCUCUGAUUACAAAUCAGAGCUUAUUUCAAUUAGCCUCCUCUGA